GUAAUAAGUUGCAAAUCUGAAAAUCAUUUCUUUAUUUCAAUGUAAGGUAAGUUUAUAAACAGUCAGACCAAAAGGUCUGCUUUUAAAGUUUUGCAAAUGCUGGUCAGAUUGAUUAGUCCUUUUUUGAAUUUUUUUUUUUUUUUUUGAGACGGAGUCUCGCUCUGUCGCCCAGGCUGGAGUGCAGUUUUUUAAUCCUAAAGCUUUUUAAUUUAAGGCUUUUUAAUUUUCAGUUUGCUUACUCCAUUCUUUUGUAAAAGAAAAAAAUCACUUUAGAUUAAAUGAAAUUGUAAUUAAGGCUUCUACUUCCAUUUCUCACCUUACGAGCUUAUCUUCUGGAUCCCCCACUUAAAAAACAAAGUUCCCUUUUCAUUUAAAAAUUAAAGAAACUCCUGGGUUAGUACUUAACACAAACAAACUAAUAAUUACCAUGUAAUAGAAGCAACAGGACAAGCUCACAGUAAUAUUACAAUGCAGGAGGUAAAAACUUGGGCAACAUAGAAAGAAGGCUCCGUUUCUUAGUCUGUAAAUGGGGACAAUAAAUAGCUGCCUCAUAAGGCUGAUGCUGGGAUCAGUCAAAUGAGAUCAUGCAAAGCACCCAGCACUGGCUAACACUCAAUAAAAAAAUAGCCAUUAUGAUCAUUAGGAAGAUAUAGGAAGAGACUUUUGUCAUUGUCACAGUUUAAUCUUGAAAAGGAACUUACUGUAUGGUAGCAUUCUGAGUCAGUUACAAGAGAAAGUAACAAGUGACCUGCAUUGCUGAGGAUCCUGCCUCCUCCAAGCUACCCUGCUACAUUGUUAAAACACCCUGGGGGAGAAAAGUAUCCUAUUCAGCCAAUGUUAAACUGUUUCCUUUUCUGAAAGUUAGAAAUAGAUGAAAAUAGCAUAAGAAAUAACUCUGUAUAUAGUAAGUUCUGGGUAAGACAAUAUUGUGGUAAGUGAACUAAACAAAGAUUAAUCUGAAAUUGGACUCUGAUCCCCAAGUGAACCAGCCAGUGUAGCCCAGUCCUUACUGGACCUGAGGAGGAAAAACAAGCCUGUGUCUAUCUCAAGCGUGAUCUGGCUAGAUAUGAUCUAAACUUUGAAAAGUGCCUAAGCAUGUUUCAGAUGCAUAUUAUGUGUUAAAUACUAAGCAGGGAGCUCUGAGCUGGGGCAGUGCACCCUGAUGCUGAGGAACUGACAUAGGAAAAUGAACACCUAGCAUUGUAAUUUGGCCUUUUGCUAUUUAUUUAUUUAUUUAUUUAUUUAUUUUGAGACGGAGUCUCUCUCUGUGGCCCAGGUUAGAGUGCAGUGGUGCAAUCUCGGCUCACUGCAACCUCCGGCUCCUGGUUCGAGCGAUUCUCCUGCUUCAGCCUCCUCAGUACCUGGGAUUCCAGGCACACGCCCCCACGCCCAGCUGAUUUUUGUAU
rnacentral:lncRNA from 1 species